rnacentral:rRNA from 1 species
AUGAGUGGUCAGGAAGUCGCAGCGGCUAAGGAGGCGGCGAGACGGCUGGAGGAGGACGACCUUGGCAUGCGAAACACCGGCGAGUCCAUAGCAGCCGGCAUCGUGUGCAUGGUCCUAGAGCACAGCGAUGACAAUAGGCCAGUCGCCAGUGAUGUGGCAAAGGUCACUGGGGUGUCGAUGCAUACCAUCCAGGUGGUGUGCAAGAAGUUGCGCCCGCACGCCGAGAUGCUAUUUGGAUGA